rnacentral:lncRNA from 1 species
CCCAGCCCUACGUGGGGGACGGCCGGGGCGCGGCCGCGCUGCGCCUGCUGCACGUCCUGCGCGCCAGCGUCCACCCCGCCCUGGAGCAGCUCUGGAACAAGGGCAUCCCCCUCCUGGUGGAGCACCUGGAAGGUGAGGAAGGGAGGGGCUUCUCCUGGGGUCACCUUCUCAAGAAUCAGAGAAUCAGAGAAUCACAGUCAGAGAAUCAGAGAAUCACAGAAUCACAGAAUCACAGAAUCACAGAAUCAGAGAAUGACAAUCAGAGAAUCACAGUCACAGAAUCACAGAAUCAGUCAAUCACAGAAUCAGAGAAUCACAGAAUCACAGUCAUAGAAUCACAGAGUCAGAGAAUCACAGUCAUAGAAUCACAGAAUCACAGAGUCAGAGAAUCACAAAUCAGAGAAUCAGAGAAUCACAGAAUCAGAAUCACAGAAUCAGAGAAUCACAGAAUCAGAGAAUCACAGAAUCACAGACUCACAAUCACAGAAUCAGAGAAUCACAGUCACAAAAUCACAGAAUCAGAGAAUCACAGAAACAGGGAAUCACAGAAUCACAGAAUCAGAGAAUCCCAGAAUCAGCUGGGUUGGGAGGGACCUCUGAGAUCACCCAGUCCAACCCUUGAUCCAACCCUGCUGUGGUUCCCAGCCCAUGGCACUGAUGCCACAUCCAGUCUGUCCUUAAACACCUCCAGGGAUGGAGAAUCCACCCCUUCCCUGGGCAGCCCAUUCCAAUGGCUGAGCACCCUCUCUGCAAAGAAAUUCUUUCUGAUAUCCAACCUAACCCUCCCCUGGCACAGCUCCAGACCCAGCCCUCUUGUCUUGCUGAUGGGAAAAGAGACCAACCCCCCCUGGCUCCCCCCUCCUGUCAGGGAGUUGCAGAGAGUGAGGAGGUCUCCCCUGAGCCUCCUCCUCUCCAGGCUGAGCC